UGAGGAAUAUUGGUCAAUGGGCGAGAGCCUGAACCAGCCAAGUCGCGUGAAGGAUGAAGGUCUUAUGGAUUGUAAACUUCUUUUAUAAGGGAAUAAAAAAGAUCACGUGUGGUCUAUUGCAUGUACCUUAUGAAUAAGCAUCGGCUAACUCCGUGCCAGCAGCCGCGGUAAUACGGAGGAUGCGAGCGUUAUCCGGAUUUAUUGGGUUUAAAGGGUGCGUAGGCGGUUUAUUAAGUCAGUGGUGAAAGUUUUCGGCUCAACCGGAAAAUUGCCAUUGAAACUGAUAGACUUGAGUGUAAACGAGGUAGGCGGAAUUCGUGGUGUAGCGGUGAAAUGCUUAGAUAUCACGAAGAACUCCAAUUGCGAAGGCAGCUUACUAGGCUACAACUGACGCUGAAGC
rnacentral:rRNA from 1 species